UAGGGAAUCUUCGGCAAUGGACGGAAGUCUGACCGAGCAACGCCGCGUGAGUGAAGAAGGUUUUCGGAUCGUAAAGCUCUGUUGUAAGAGAAGAACGAGUGUGGAGUGGAAAGUUCACACUGUGACGGUAUCUUACCAGAAAGGGACGGCUAACUACGUGCCAGCAGCCGCGGUAAUACGUAGGUCCCGAGCGUUGUCCGGAUUUAUUGGGCGUAAAGCGAGCGCAGGCGGUUAGAUAAGUCUGAAGUUAAAGGCUGUGGCUUAACCAUAGUAGGCUUUGGAAACUGUUUAACUUGAGUGCAAGAGGGGAGAGUGGAAUUCCAUGUGUAGCGGUGAAAUGCGUAGAUAUAUGGAGGAACACCGGUGGCGAAAGCGGCUCUCUGGCUUGUAACUGACGCUGAGGCUCGAAAGCGUGGGGAGCAAACAGGAUUAGAUACCCUGGUAGUCCACGCUGUAAACGAUGAGUGCUAGGUGUUAGACCCUUUCCGGGGUUUAGUGCCGUAGCUAACGCAUUAAGCACUCCGCCUGGGGAGUACGACCGCAAGGUUG
rnacentral:rRNA from 1 species